ACACACACACAGACAGACAGACAGACACACACACAGACAGACAGACACACACACAGAUACACACACACACUCAGACAGACACACAAAUCAAAUCAUGACGUUUCUGCUCACUUUAAUAAACACACACUCAUUUACCAGCCUUUAGUAUCCCACAGUGUAAAUGUGACUUUCUGCUGUGUGUGUGUGUGUGUGUGUGUGUGUGUGUGUGUGUGUGUGUGUGUGUAUGUAUGUGUGUGUGUGUUCAGUAUGUUAUUACAUUAUUAAAGAGAAACAGGUGUGUGUGUGUGUGUGUGUGUGUGUGUGUGUGUGU